GUGGGAAACCUGCCCAGAAGCGGGGGAUAACACCUGGAAACAGAUGCUAAUACCGCAUAACAACUUGGACCGCAUGGUCCGAGUUUGAAAGAUGGCUUCGGCUAUCACUUUUGGAUGGUCCCGCGGCGUAUUAGCUAGAUGGUGGGGUAACGGCUCACCAUGGCAAUGAUACGUAGCCGACCUGAGAGGGUAAUCGGCCACAUUGGGACUGAGACACGGCCCAAACUCCUACGGGAGGCAGCAGUAGGGAAUCUUCCACAAUGGACGAAAGUCUGAUGGAGCAACGCCGCGUGAGUGAAGAAGGGUUUCGGCUCGUAAAACUCUGUUGUUAAAGAAGAACAUAUCUGAGAGUAACUGUUCAGGUAUUGACGGUAUUUAACCAGAAAGCCACGGCUAACUACGUGCCAGCAGCCGCGGUAAUACGUAGGUGGCAAGCGUUGUCCGGAUUUAUUGGGCGUAAAGCGAGCGCAGGCGGUUUUUUAAGUCUGAUGUGAAAGCCUUCGGCUCAACCGAAGAAGUGCAUCGGAAACUGGGAAACUUGAGUGCAGAAGAGGACAGUGGAACUCCAUGUGUAGCGGUGAAAUGCGUAGAUAUAUGGAAGAACACCAGUGGCGAAGGCGGCUGUCUGGUCUGUAACUGACGCUGAGGCUCGAAAGUAUGGGUAGCAAACAGGAUUAGAUACCCUGGUAGUCCAUACCGUAAACGAUGAAUGCUAAGUGUUGGGAGGGUUUCCGCCCUUCAGUGCUGCAGCUAACGCAUUAAGCAUUCCGCCUGGGGAGUACGGCCGCAAGGCUGAAACUCAAAGGAAUUGACGGGGGCCCGCACAAGCGGUGGAGCAUGUGGUUUAAUUCGAAGCUACGCGAAGAACCUUACCAGGUCUUGACAUACUAUGCAAAUCUAAGAGAUUAGACGUUCCCUUCGGGGACAUGGAUACAGGUGGGUGCAUGGGUUGUCGUCCAGCUCCUGUCCUGGAAAAGUUGGGGUUAAAUCCCCCCACCAAGCGCAACCCCUUAUUAUCAAUUUGCCACCCAUUAAAUUUGGGCACUCUUGGUGAGACUGCCCGGUGACAAACCCGAGGAAGAGGGGGGGAGGAGGUUCAAAACAUUCUAUGCCCCCUUAUUAACCGGGGGGUACCACCUCGGCUCCAAUUGGAGGGGGGCCACACAAAUUUCGGAACUCCCCGAGAGAAAAGCUAAAUUCCUUUAAAACCAUUUCUCAUUUUUCCGAAUUUGUAAGGGGGCAACUCCCCUCCACUUAAAAAUCGGAGAUACCUUUUUUAUUUUCCCGGAUUACCAAAUCCCCCCCCGGUGAAAAACAUUUUCCCGGGCCCUUGUGGACCACCC
rnacentral:rRNA from 1 species